AAUAGGAAAUUUAAGAGCGUAUGGUGGAUGCCUUGACUCUAAAAGACGAUGAAGGACGUAGUUUGGCUGCGAUAAGCUUCGGGGAGGUGCCUAGCAACCUUUGAUCCGAAGAUCUCCGAAUGGGGAAACCCUCCGCUUCGGCGGAAUUCUAUGAAUUACAUAGAAAGUAGACCCAGGGAAGUAAAACAUUUCAGUACCUGGAGGAAAAGAAAACAAACCACGCAAGUGGAAAUAUUUCCUAAGUAGUGGCGAGCGAAAAGGAAAGAGCCCAAACCUAGCCUCACUCUCACGAUGCAUUUAGUUGUAUUGUGGGAGUGAUGCUAGGGGUUGUAAGGCAACAACGUCAUUUUUAAAUGAGAAGAGUUAAAAAAUAUUUCGUUAACUGAAUGCGCUGGAAAGCGCGGCCCCAGAAGGUAAUAGCCCUGUAAGUGAAAAUGAAAUAUCUCUUUUGUUGUUGUUCUUGAGUACUUCGAGACACGAAUAGCUCGGAGGAAGCUGCCGGAACUAACCGGUAAGGCUAAAUACUUUUAGAGAUCGAUAGUGAACUAGUACCGCGAGGGAAAGGUGCGAUAGUGAACUAGUACCGCGAGGGAAAGGUGAAAAGAAGCCCGGUGAGGGCAGUGAAAUAGACCUGAAACCAUAUGCUUACAAGGAGUCAGAGCGGUGUGCACAAUGCACAUCAUAUUUGUGUUUUGAGUGAUGGACGGAGGAAUGGACAAGCGCCUACUUUCAGUCAAAGGUAGAGGUGCGAGGAGUAGCCCUUUAGCGGGAACGCGAGGUGAACUCCACUGAAAUUGUCGUUGCGUGUUUAGUUACGACUGAUGUGCCAUAUGUGGCAUAUUAAACUAGAUGCAAGAUGCGGCAGUGCCGUUUCCAUUUCAUUUCCCAUCAGCUGAUUGUUGGUACGGAAUUUAUUUCCGCCGCAAUCAGCUCCAUUACUCAAAACAUAAAUUGUGGUGAAUAUUGUGCACACCGUCAUGGCGUGCCUAUUGAAGAAUGCUCUCC
rnacentral:rRNA from 1 species